rnacentral:lncRNA from 1 species
GACGGGUUUUGGUCAAACUUGGUCAAAUGACAAACUAAAUUACUUAAAAUGAAAAAAAUUUUAAUACCAAGUUGUUAGAUAUCAUCAAGAUAUAAACUUUUUAUAUACACAAUUUUUCCAUUUGAGAAAGUUUAAGUUAACAAUACCCACCAAAUAUUAAAUCUCACACAAACUAUAUGAAACUAUAUGUGUCAAUUGUGGAUUUUCAACUACACCUUCCGAAAACUUUGUCAAAUGCAAAAAUGGUCUAUAUGUUAAAUGUAGAUUUUGAUGAGUGGAACAAUAUUGAUAUUCAUGACUUGUCCAUUCGAGACGAUCUAGGGUUCCGAAACCGAUGCGUGGCUAUGAAUUCUUUCAAAAUUCAAAAUUGAGUGGUUCAAACUUUUCCAAAUGAAAAGUUAACCAUUAGACCAAAUGUAGAACUUGAUGAGUGUAAAAAACUUUGUAUUCAUGACUUUUUUAUUUGGGACCAUCUAAGGUUCGGUCAAAAGGUGUAUUCAUCAAGAUAUACAUUUUUAUAUGAUAAAUAGAUUUUUUAUUUGGUGAAAACUGUACCCUACUAGCAUUCUGAGUAAUAAAUGACAAAAAUAAAAAGUUUAACGUCAAUAUGAUGUGAAAAAAGAUUUCCAGUUGAUUGGAUAUAGUUUUUGUAAAUUUAUUGGAAUAAUAUAUUUUUGCAUUAACAAAGUACUAAACAUUACUUACAGAAUUAUUGCAAAUUAAAAAAUACAGUAAGAUAUUUAAGGUUAAAAAUUUUCAUGUGUACAUUAAAAAAAAUUACAAUACAUGUCAUUCUUUAAAAAAUAUUAUGCAAAAUAUUUAAUUUACUAUACAAUUUAUAAUGUAAAGUUUAUAUAUAAACACUUUAAAAACACUAAACUAAAAAAUAGGCCCAUUAGCACCGGCCCAUGGUUGGAACCGGUGCUAAAGGGUCCUGAAUUUCAGGACCCUGCCCGAGCCCGCUAAGACCCUUUAGCACUGGUCCGUGGCUGUAGCACCGGUUCCAGCCACGAGCCGGUGCUAAAGGGUCCGCCCCUAUAUAUACCGCAGUCGCCCUGGAUCUGAACAUGCUUCGUCUUCGUCGAGCAGACCUGAACCGCUGCCUUCCAUCACCAGCGCCGCCGUCGUUUCGUCUACCCGCGCCAUCGUCCAGCGCCGCCGCGUGGCCGUCUCUAGCACCGCCGCGGCCAUCUCCGCCACCAGCGCCACCGUGGGUGCCAUCUCCGCCACCAGCGCCGGCACCAGCGCUGUCUUCUUCCUCCACACACGUCGAUCAACUCCGGACGGCCGUCUAGCUCUCAAUGUAUUAUAUCAAGAUCGAACUCCAGCUAUAAAGUUAAUCUGCAAAAUAAAUAAAUGUAUAUAUAUAUAAUCUGCAAAAUGAAUGAAUGUAUAUACAUAUAUAAUAAAUAUAAAUAUAUAUAUAUAUGUAUAUAUAUAAUAAAUAUAUAUAAUAAAUGAAUGUUAUGAUAUACUGCAUGUGUUUUGAAUAUACAUGUAUAUAAUAUACAAUUGUAUAUUUAUAAUUAUAUAUAUGUACAUAUAUACAUUUAUGAUAUAUAUUGUGUUUUAAAUUGUUAUUAUAUUAUUGUUUGUACUAUUAUUUUAGUAUUAUUUUUAGUAUUAUUUUUUAGUAUAUUAUUCUAGUAUAUUGCUUGGCUUAAAAGACUUUUUAGUAUAUUAUUCUACUAUAUUAUGAAUUGUAGUGUUUUGUAUAUAUUAUUGUUUGUACUAGUAUUUUAGUAUUAUUUUUAGUAUUAUUUUUUAGUAUAUUAUUCUAGUAUAUUACUUGGCU